rnacentral:rRNA from 1 species
UGGGGAAUUUUGGACAAUGGGCGAAAGCCUGAUCCAGCCAUGCCGCGUGCGGGAAGACGGCCUUCGGGUUGUAAACCGCUUUUGUACGGAGCGAAAGGGUCUGCCCUAAUACGGUGGGCUCAUGACGGUACCGUAAGAAUAAGCACCGGCUAACUACGUGCCAGCAGCCGCGGUAAUACGUAGGGUGCGAGCGUUAAUCGGAAUCACUGGGCGUAAAGCGUGCGCAGGCGGUUAUAUAAGACAGAUGUGAAAUCCCCGGGCUCAACCUGGGAACUGCGUUUGUGACGGCAUAGCUAGAGUGCGGCAGAGGGAGGUGGAAUUCCGCGCGUAGCAGUGGAAUGCGUAGAUAUGGGGAAGAACACCGAUGGCGAAGGCAGCCUCCUGGGCCAGUACUGACGCUCAUGAGCGAAAGCGUGGGGAGCAAACA